rnacentral:misc_RNA from 1 species
GUGGAAGGAAAUGGGCUGGCAAGGAAAGGAUCCAUCAACAGAUUUUAGGUAAAUCAGUGAGACCUUUUUUAGUUCCAUGGUUGCUUCUAUUUUUUGCCUUCUAUUACUGUUGUAUUAGAUUUAUGAUAUUGGAUUAUCUUGCAGGGUUGGUGGUUUUAUAUCGUUAGAGAACUUGAUCUUUGCUAGAAAUUUUCCACAGUAUACUGUUUUCACACGUUUCACUAGCUCACACUCUCUUAGUCCCACUCAGUCUUCUUCAUGAUAUUUUAAAUUUUAAUCCAUUCUUUUACUUCCUUUGGAAGAAGAUGCUUAAGUGAAUAUGGCUUUAAAUAAUCUAAUGAUUUUUAGUUGAAUUAGUAGCUAGUAUAAUAAACAUCCAGUUGAAAUAGGCUAGUUUAAAAUGUAUGUGCAUUGUGUUCCUUGGCCAUCUUUCCAAAUUGCAUGUGUGAGUAUAUGUCUGCUCUUGAUUGAAUGUCUUGUAAAGUACAAUAGCUAGUAAAAUGAUAAAUAACUUGAAGACACUAUUUUUGUGUCCC